rnacentral:rRNA from 1 species
UACAGAGGGUGCAAACGUUGUUCGGAAUUACUGGGCGUAAAGCGCGUGUAGGCGGCUUGGCAAGUCGGGUGUGAAAGCCCCGGGCUCAACCUGGGAAGUGCACUCGAAACUGCUUGGCUUGAGUACUGGAGAGGGAAGCGGAAUUCUCGGUGUAGAGGUGAAAUUCGUAGAUAUCGAGAGGAACACCGGUGGCGAAGGCGGCUUCCUGGACAGUUACUGACGCUGAGGCGCGAAAGCCAGGGGAGCAAACGGG